UACGUAGGGGGCUAGCGUUGUCCGGAAUCAUUGGGCGUAAAGCGCACGUAGGCGGCUUGUUAAGUCGGGGGUGAAAUCCUGGAGCUCAACUCCAGAACUGCCUUCGAUACUGGCGAUCUCGAGUUCGGGAGAGGUGAGUGGAACUGCGAGUGUAGAGGUGAAAUUCGUAGAUAUUCGCAAGAACACCAGUGGCGAAGGCGGCUCACUGGCCCGAUACUGACGCUGAGGUGCGAAAGCGUGGGGAGCAAACAGG
rnacentral:rRNA from 1 species